rnacentral:lncRNA from 1 species
CUGCAUGAUAAAAACACAAAACCUGGAAGUGGAUGGGUGCUACAGAUCAAUCAGCAUGUCUUGACUAUUCAUUCUUUAAUUUAAGAAAAGGAAACAGUUCGUAUAUAUAAUAUAUGCAUGUCAGCUGAUGCUUAAAUAUUGAAGAAAAUCAAGUUUAGCAAGAGACACACCUGAACUAAUGAGUUUUUUGCGUAACUGGUGUCCCCAUUUCCUCCCUUCAUGCAAAGCACUUGAGCUACUUCCAUCUCUUUCGUCCUACCUCUUCGCUGAUUGCUUCCUCUCAGUUGGAAUGUGGAUUAUGUUGAAGGAGAUGCUCCCCAUUUAUAGAACUUGGGCCACAUCGUCGUGGAAUGAAUUAUUUCAUCUUCUAGGGGCUCUGCUUCCACCGAACCCCAGUGACUCCUGGAAUUGGUGGACUAAUUAUUGUACUGAUCCCACGUGGUCGGCAGUCCUGAGGCCUGACAUCCACCAGAAGAUAGUACGCCACGUGGCAUACUGUCCAUCAAUGACUCGUUUAUCUCCGUUCAUCUCCGCGUGGGCCUAGGCUACCUAUUCAAGUAAUUAGGUCGGCAGCACUUUUGGAAACGGUUACCGGUUCUCAAUUAUUUUUUGAAACAAAAAAUAGAAGUACUUCAAAGGAAUGUGACAUUUUAUGUUUCACGUGAUCGAUGUAAUUCAUUUAUUUGCUUUUCCUAGAAACAUGAAGCGAUUGACAGAUUCCAAAAAUAAUGGUGGUCAUGAAACACGAUGAUGAAUGUAGGACAAGGUGGAGGUGGGUGCACAGGUUGGCCGCUGCCACCUUAGAACAAAUUGGUAUUAGUUAUCACCCACAAAAUAUCGGAGGUAGCCCUGCAGACGUUUGUUAGCUGACGUUUCCAUGCAUGACAGCCUCAUGUUAUUCUUCAAUCUAGUGACAGGUUUCGUCUCCUCUGAUCUUCUUUUUCAAAAUAAUCUGAGCCACACAAACCGAUGUCUGGAAUACAGUGAACUUUAUAAAAAAAGAAAAAAAAUGUAUUUAUAAUAUAUUUCAUGUCUUUAAAAAAUAUUAUUUCUAAAAUUUGAGAUAGUAAAAAUUUAAUAUAUUAUUUUUUUUAUAUAGAUUUUAAAAUUUAUUACUAAGAUAAAUCUCAAAGAACUCCUAUCUUUUACGUGGUCUAUAUUUUAAAAUAUAAAACAAUAAAUAACCUAGUACAACAAAUGAAAUAUGAAAAAUAAGAGUUCUAAUAUGAUUUAAUUUUUCAAUAUAAUCAUCAAAUAAAUAAAAAAAUUAAAAGAUUAUCUUAGAAGGUAAAAUCAAAACAAAGAUGAAAAGAUAAUAAUUUCAAGAAUAUAUGUAUUAAUUAAACUUAACAAAUAAAAAAUAUAACAUAUAAAACUAUAAAAAUUAUUUGAUUUUCAUAUAAAAGAUCAAGUCAAAACAAAUAAUAAUUCUUAUAAAAAUAAAAUUAUUAGAUGAGACUAUUGUCUAAGAAAAUAAUGUUCUUGAAAGGACCUACAAAGAAAAGAGUUAGAACUUAGGUUUAAUUAUUAUUAUUAUUAAUAAUAAAUAAAUGAAUAUGGAAAAACAAAAGUUUUUGUAUGAUUUAAUUUUUCUAUAUUAUUAUUAAAUAAAUAAAUAAAUUUAAAAAUUAUCCAAAAAGCAAAAUAAAAUAAGAAUAAUUUCAAGAAUAUAUAUAUAUAUGAGAAUUCUUGCAAAAAUUAAAAUUAAUACUAAAAAUUAUGAUGAGAACUUUUAACAUAAUAAAGUUCUUGAGAAGAUCAAUGGAGAGAACAGUUAUAAUUUACGGUUUCAUAAAAAAAAGUUAUAGAUAAUAUCUAUAGUUUAAUUAGUUAUAUAUUGAUAAUUUAUAUGCUCAUAUAAUAUUUUAUUUUUGUAAAGUUAAAAUUUUCGCUUACAUGACUGUAUGAUUUUAUAAAAUUUCUUUUUAUUUAAUAAAAGAUUAUAAAUUAAUGUGAUUUCAAGUGAUAAGUCCUCUUAUAUUAAAUAAAAUUAUUAUAGCCUCUUUGUAUUAAAAAGCUAAGGUUGUAUUUGGUUUCCAACAAGUAUUAAUGAAAACAAAAAUUAAAUGCUAAAAAAAUGAUUUUUUUGUUUAUUUGAUUGUUCUAUGGAAAAUAUAAAAGAAAAUCAAUUAUUGUUAAGAUUAAUUAGAAAUUUAUAUAUUUUCAAAUUAUUUAAUCUUUAUAUCGAAAAAAAUAAAAUAAGUGAAAUGGGUUUGAAAUAACAUAUAAAAAUAAUUUUUUAAUUUUAAAUUUAUUUUUAUUAAAAAAUAUGAGAAUUUAUCGGAUUAUGGGAACUUGUGGAUGAUCACCCAUAUUGAUGUCUUUUUAUGACUCCCUAUAAAAGGGAGAUACCUCUAAGGAAAAUUCAUUUUAUUCUUUUCCCACAUUCUAAUUUCUCUUUCUUGUUUUCUUUUUUCACUUUAUAAUUUUACAACACGUAGAAAGAUUUUUCUCUAUUCAGAGAAACAGAAAAACGUUCUCCUUUUCAAAAAAAUAGAAAGAUUCUUCUUUCUUCUUUCUCACAAAAAGGUAUGUAAUAAACUUAUAUUAUGAUUUUCAAUUUUGUUAACCUUUGAUCUCUAUUUUCAUUUAUUUUAUUUGAAUACAUAAAUAUGUAUAAUCCCUAUAACCAGAAGUUAUGCGGUAAAUUAUAAAUUAUGGGGUAAAUUCAUAACCAGAAGUUAUGAAAAAUGUGUGCAAUUCCUAUAACCAGAAGUUAUGGGGAAAAAUUACAGAAUUAUAGAUAUAUGACCAGAAGUUAUGUAUAUGAUCCCUAAUUAUUUAUUUGUAAUUAUUCGAUAUAACUGGAUGUUAUACCAAACAAUAUUAUAUAGCUAGAAGUUAUAAAAUAAAUAAAUAAAUAAAUGUUCAUAGCCUGAAGCUAUGUACAAAUUUACAUAAAAUAAUUCAUAACUUGAAGCUAUAUAUUACUUUGCACAUUUUUGUUAUGAUAAAAUAAUCAUAGCCCGAAACUAUGAAAGAAAAUAUAUAUAUAUUAAAUUUUUAUUUUUAUUUCAUAUUUAUACAUUUUUCCCAUAUUUAUAAUUGAUAGAUUUUAGGUCAUUAUAUUUUUAGAUAUUGUUUACUUGAAAUAUUGUUAAAGCAUUUUAUUAAUAGUUUAUUAUAAUAAUUGAAAUAUUUCUCUGAUUAAUAUUAUAUAUAGUUUUUAGAUAAUGUCAAACUUGUAAAGCUUGAAUUUGUUGCCCUCGAUAUUUCGGGCAAGAACUACUUAUCUUGGGUUCUGGAUGCUCAAAUUCAUCUAGAUGCGAUGAAUCUUGGAAAUACCAUUAAAGAAGGAAAUGACGCAUCUUUGCAGGAUCGCACCAGAGCUUUGAUAUUCCUUUGCCGUCACAUUGAUGAAGGAUUAAAAGGUGAAUACCUUAUGGUUAAAGAUCCUUUCAUCCUUUGGAAUAAUCUAAGGGAACGAUAUGACCACCAAAAGACCGUAAUUCUUCCAAAGGCACGCUAUGAUUGGAUGCACUUGAGAUUACAAGAUUUCAAGUUUGUUAGUGACUACAACUUGGCCUUAUUCAAAAUUAGCUCACAAUUAAAAUUGUGUGGAGAAAAGGUCAUUGAAGAAGAUAUGCUUGAAAAAAUAUUCAAAACUUUUCAUGCCUCGAAUGUGCUCCUGCAACAGUAAUAUCAAGAGCGUUGUUUCACUAAAUAUUCAGAAUUGAUCUCAUGUCUUCUUGCGGCUGAACAAAAUAAUGAGCUAUUAUUGAAAACCCAUCAAUCUCGUCCUAUUGGGUCUAUGUCAUUGCUUGAAGCCAAUGCCACAUGUAUUCAAACCCUUGGACAGGAACAAAGACGUGGAUAUGGACGAGGUUGAGGACGUGGUAAACACAAUUCUUCUCAUCGUAGUGGUUCUCAAAGUAAAAAAGAACAACUCAAAUCACCAAAAGUGGAAUAAUUCAGAGACACAACCUGAAAAGGGGAUAGAACCACAAAGUAAACAUGCUCGUGAGAAUAACUGUCAUAGAUGUGGCAUGAAAGGACAUUGGUCACGUACUUGUCAUACUCCAAAACAUUUUGUUGACCUUUAUCAAGCCUCAAUAAAAGUAAAAGGAAAGGAAGUUGAAAUGUACUUCAUUGAUAGUGAUGGCCCGGUAGAUCCAACCCAUUUAGAUGUUUCAGAUUUCUUUGAGAAUCCUAAUGGGAAAAUUGACCAUCUAAUUGGUGAUGGAAAUGUUUGUUAUAAUUAAAUGUUACGUUCUUAUUUAGUUCCUUGCAAAUAGGUUUAUUUUGUUAUCAUCUUUAAAUACAUUGUUUAUUAUUCAUCUUUUAUAGUCUAUUUCACAUUUUAUUAUUUCUUAUUUAAAUUAUUCUCUUUAUUUAUUCUUGAAGAUACAUGGAUCUUUCUCACACUUUGGUACAUCAUACGACAUCCAAUGUAAAUGCAUGUCUUACAGAUUGUGCCACAACACACACAAUCCUUCGUGAUAAAAAAUAUUUUUCCAACAUAUCAUUGGUUAAGUCUAAUGUUAAUACAAUAUUAGGUCUUGUAGACUUGAUUCAAGGCUUCGGAAGAGCAACUAUUAUUUCACCUAGAGGAACUAAAAUCCACAUUAAUGAUGCCCUUUAUUAUACUAAAUCCAAGCGAAAUCUUCUUAGUUUCAAGGAUAUUCGCCGAAAUGGAUAUCACAUUGAAACUAUGAAUGAUGAUAGUAAUGAAUACCUUCUUAUUACUUCAAUUAUUUCUGGGGAAAAACACCUCUUGAAAAAAGCUUCCUUCUUAUUCUUGUGGGUUAUAUCAAACAAUCAUUAGACCCAUUGAGUCAUAUGCUAUCAUGAACUAAAAGUUCUGUGACUUAAAAACUUCUUGGUCAUCCAGGAUUAUCCAUGAUGUGUCGUAUCAUCAACAAUUCUUUAGGGCAUCCCUUGAAGAACCAGAAUAUUAUGAUGCCCAAUGAUUACAAUUGCGUUGCUUGCUCACAAGGUAAAUUAAUUAUUAAACCAUCAUUUACGAAGGUUGAAUAUGAAUCACCAGCCUUUCUAGAACGCAUUCAAGGUGAUAUUUGUGGACUUAUUCAUCCACCUAGUGGACUUUUUCAUCAUUUUAUGGUUUUAAUUGAUGCAUCAACUCGUUGGUCUCAUGUUUGUUUUCUUUCAACUAGAAAUAUUGCCUUCACCAUAUUACUUGCUCAAAUAAUUUGACUCAAGGCACAAUUCCUUGAUAAUCCUAUUAAGAGGUACAAUUCCCUGAUAAUCCUAUUAAGAGAAUUUGUCUUGAUAAUGUUGGUGAAUUUUUCUCUCAAACAUUUCUUGAUUAUUGUAUGUCGGUUGGUAUUGAUGUUGAAUAUCCUGUUGCUUAUACCCAUACUCAGAAUGGAUUAGCUGAAUCUUAAUUAAGAGUUUGCAACUGAUUGCAAGACCAUUACUCUUAAGAACAAAAUUACUCUUGUCUGCUUGGGGGCAUGAUAUUCUUCAUGCUGUCACUUUAAUUCGAAUUCACCCUACAGCUAAUCACGAUUGCUCACCUUUACAACUUGCUUUAGGCUCCCAACCAAAUGUUUCACAUUUUCAUAUUUUUGGUUGUGAUGUCUAUGUUCCCAUAGCUCCACCUCAACGUUCCAAGUUAGGACCUCAACGUCGAAUUGGUAUAUAUGUUGGUUUUAAUUCUCCCUCCAUUAUCUGUUAUCUUGAACCAGCCACAGGUGAUGUUUUUACUGCCCACUUUGCAGAUUGUCAUUUUGAUGAAAAUGUUUUCACGCCAUUAGGGGGAGACAAGUCAAAAGAAUGGCGAGACAUUACAUGGUAUGUGCCCUCCUUGUCUCAUCUUGAUCCUUGCACAAGACAAUGUGAGUUAAAAAUUCAAAGGAUUGUUCAUUUGCAAGGACUUGCAAAUCAAUUACUUGAGGCUUUCACAGAUAUUAAGAAAAUAAUAAAGUCACAUGUGCCAGUUGUGAACGCCCCAACACAUAUUGAUGUCCCUGAAGGACAAAUGGAGAAUGCCAUAGCAAAUGAAUCUAAGACAUGCCUGAAGCAUGGUAGACCUAUUGGCUCAAAGGAUUUAAUUCCUAGAAAAAGAAAAGGAACAACAUAUGAAAAACUUAGUACUCCUGAAGAGUUCACUAAUAUGAAAGGGUCAAAUGAUGAAACCCAAUCUGACAAACAGUUAGCUCCUGAAGAGGUACAAAUUGAUCAAAUACCGGUAUCUAGAAUUGAAGAGAUCUCAAUGAGUCACACGAGAGAAACAAAGGACUGUAGCAAUAUUAUCAUAUAUAAUAUAUUCGCAUUCCAAGUGGCUAUGGACAUCAUGAGAAAUGAUGAAUAUCAAGAACCACAAGUUGUGAAUGAAUGUCGAAAAAUGAAUGAUUGGCCAAAACGGAAAGAAGCAAUCCAAACAGAGCUAAACUCGUUAACAAAACGAGAGGUAUUUGGACUUGUAGUUCAAACACCUGGAAACAUAAAGCCUAUUGGAUAUAAAUGGGUCUUUGUGAAAAAACGAAAUGAGAAUGAUGAAAUCAUAAGAUAUAAAGUACAACUUGUUGCUCAAGGUUUUUCUCAAAGACCUGGUAUAGACUAUGAGGAAACUAAUUCUCCUAUAAUGGAUGCAAUCACACUUCGAUACUUGAUAAAUUUAAUAGUCUCUGAAGGACUAGAUAUGCAUCUUAUGGAUGUUGUUACAACCUAUUUAUAUGGGUCUAUAGAUAUUGACAUAUAUAUGAAAAUCCUUAAAGGAUUCAAAUUGCCUAAAGCAACUAAUCCAAAACCUCGAAACAUGUACUCAAUCAGACUACAAAGAUCUUUGUACGGAUUAAAGCAAUCCAGACGUAUGUGGUAUAAUUGUUUGAGUGAGUAUUUGUUAAAAGAAUGAUAUGUGAAUAAUUCAAUUUGCCCAUGUGUUUUUAUCAAGAAAUCAAAAUUUGGGCUUACAAUAAUUGCAGUGUAUGUGGAUGAUUUAAACCUUAUAGGAACUCUUGAAGAGCUCACAAAAGCAGCCAAUUAUUUAAAGAAGGAAUUUGAAAUGAAAGACUUGGGGAAAACAAGAUAUUGCCUCGGCCUGCAAAUCGAGCAUUGUUCAAAUGGCAUAUUAGUCUAUCAAUCGAAAUAUACAGAGAAAGUAUUAAAACGAUUUUAUAUGGACAAAUCACAUUCAAUCAAUUCCCCUAUGGUUGUUCAUUUACUUGAAGUGAACAAAAGACCCAUUUCGUCUUAAAGAAGAAAAUGAAGAAUUGCUUGGUCCAGAAGUACCAUAUCUCAGUGCAAUCAGUGCACUAAUGUAUCUUGCAAAUUGUACUAGACCAGACAUAACAUUUUCUAUCAACUUACUAGCAAGAUACAAUUCUGCCCCAACUAAAAGGCAUUGGAAUGUGAUUAAACAUAUAUUACGAUACCUUCGUGGAACAAGUGACAUGAGUUUAUAUUAUUCAAAAGAAUCAAAAUCACAAUUGAUUGGGUAUGCAGAUGUAGGGUAUCUUUCAUAUCUUCAUAAAGCUUGAUCUCAAAUGGGAUAUGUCUUUACUUAUGGUGGGACGUUAAUAUCUUGGAGAUCAGUCAAGCAAACACUGGUAGCCACAUCUUCAAAUCAUUUAGAAAUUCUUGCAAUUCAUGAAGCAAGUCGUGAAUGCGUAUGACUAAGGUCAAUGAUCCAACAUAUACAAGAAACAUGUGGACUACUUUCCAUCAGAGGCAAUGCAUCUAUGUUACAUGAAGAUAAUGCUGCUUGUAUUGCACAAAUUAAAGGAGGAUUCAUAAAAGGUGACAGAACUAAGCAUAUCUCCCCUAAAUUAUUCUAUACUCAUAAGCUCCAAAAGAAAAAUGAGAUUGAUGUUCAACAAAUUUGAUUAUGCAAUAAUCUAGCAGAUCUAUUCACAAAGGCGUUACUUUCGACCACAUUGAAAAAGUUAAGGUAUGACAUUGGAAUGCAAAGACUAAGAGAUCUACCAUUUAAAAUGUUGAAGAAAUCAUAAUCAUGUUUACAUGAGAGGAAGAAUGCUAAUAUGGAUAUAUUGCACUAUUUUUUCCUUCGUCCAAGUUUUGUCCCAUUGGGUUUUACUGACAAGGUUUUUAAUGAGGCAGUUACCAUAUUCUUAUGAUCAUCCAAGGGGGAGUGUUAGGAAAUAUGAAAAUUUAUCGGAUUAUGGGAACUUGUGGAUUAUCAUCUAUAUUGAUGUAUAUCUCUUUGUGAUUCCUUGUAAAAGGGAGAUACCUCUAAUGAAAAUCCAUUCUAUUUUCUUCCUACAUUCUAAUUUUUCUUUCUUGUUUUCUUCUUUCACUUUAUAAUUUUACAACAAUUUUUUAUUUUCUUUACUUUUUCUUUUAAUCCACUAAAAACUCUCUAUUUUCUUUCUUUCACAUUUCCCACAAAAUUUUCGGUAACUAAACAUAGCCUAAGAAAAUCAUUCAUAUUAUUUUUAAAUAUUUUUAUUAUGCUACAUGUUGUUGCAAUUCUACUUUUUAAAUAAAAAUUAUUUUUGAAAGUGUUUAUAAGGUUUAGAGUAGAAAAUAAUUAUUUAACUUACAAAUAUAUUUGACAAUUAUUUAUUUAUUUAUUGAAAAUAGCUUUUUGAGAAAUAUUUGUUCUCAAAAUUGUGUGAUGUUUUAAAACAAAUUUAAAGUGUUUAUGAAUUGAUUAGAAAAAUAAUUGAAAAUAUGGAGAAGAUUUUGAAAAACAAAGAAUAAAGUGAGAAAAUUAAUAAUUUUUAUAUUUAGAAUAAGAACCUUCUUUAUUGGAACUCUUGGCAUUCUCCAAAUUAUUAAUUUGGGAGGUCUCUCCACUCUAUUUCAUCCAAAUUACCAACCCAUUCACUCAUUUAGAGUUUUUUCUUAUGUUAAAUUCAACGUCAUGUAUAAAUACUUGUAUUUGAAUUGUCCGAGUAUCAUAUAUGGCAACCUUUUUUCUUUCAACUACUAUAAAAUUAAUUUAACUUUUUAUGAAUAUGCUUAAAAUAUUGGCUUGAACACAAAACAGUGAUAUCUAAGGCAAAGCACAGAGCAGAGGAAGCCAUAACCAAUCUCUAUUGUAGCAUCUUGCCACAAUGCUUAGGCAUAGCUGAGUUGGGUUGUUCUUCUGGACCCAAUGCUCUUUUUGUCGUCCAAGAACUUGUGAUCACAACCUACAAAGUCUAUCAGAAACUAGGUCGUCAGUAGCCGGAAAUUCAAGUGUUCCUCAAUGAUCUUCCAGGAAAUGAUUUCAACACUCAUUAAAACCGUCACAAAAUUUCAACAAAAUUUGUCACAAGAGAUGGGCAAUGGUGUUAGACCAUGCUUUUCCAUGGGACUUCUGGGUUCUUUCUAUUACAAACAUUUCCUUAGCCGAAGUCUACAUUUUGCCCAUUCUUCUUACAGCCUGCAUUGGCUGUCUCAGGUGACCAAGUAUUUGUCCUUUUACAGCUACAAUAAUAUAUUGACAAAGAAGGAACCAUGAAAUUUAUUUGGAGUACAAUUGUUUAUUAGGUUCCUCCAGGUUUAGAGGACAAUAAAGGUAAUAUUUUCAUGUCAAGUUCAAGCCCACCAAGCGCACUUAAGGCUUACUAUGCACAGUUCCAAUAGGAUUUUUCGGUGUUCCUCAAGCAUCGCUCAGAGGAAAUAGUUGGAGGGCGUAUGGUCGUCACAAUCAUAUGGGGAGAAGAAGUGAAGAGCCUACCAGUAAAGAGUGUUGUUACAAUUGGGAGCUUUCGGCUUUGGCUCUCAGGGAUAUGGUCUCAGAGGUAUACAUUACCGUAUUUAAGCUCCUUCAUGUUGUUUCAGUCCAAUGCUGCCAAUUUGUACUUCAUCAUUAAGGAAUAAGGAAUAACUCUUCUUGUGGUAACAAAGAAAUUGCUUAUAAACAAUGCAGGGGCUCAUAGAAGAAGAAAAAUUGGAUUCCUUCAACAUUCCUCAAUGUACGCCAUCUCCUACGUACUGGAAUGAAGCUUGAGAUUGAAGAGGAAGGAUCAUUUGUCAUAGACCGGCUAGAAGUUUUUGAAGUGGACUGGGAUUAUUACGAGAGUGGUGGUCCUUGUAAUGCUGCAAAGGGUAUUAGAGCGGUGGCAAAAUGAAUGUUUGCUGCUCACUUUGGGAGUGGAAUCAUAGAAGAGGUGUUCCGCAGACACACGGAGAGAUUGUUGUUAAUCGCAAUUCCAAAUAGAAGCCUCAGUAUGUCAAUUUGGUUGUUUCCAUGACUGUAAGUGGAUGAUCAAAGUGAACGUUGUCUUUAAUUAUCAUCAAUUUUAAUGUUGCCUUAAAUUUCAAUAAGUAGAAAGAUUCAUAUAAGAUUGGGUAUUUAGAUGAUGAUGAUCAAUUGUCGAACGCAUUGAAUAAAUGUUUGAGUAAAUAGAACUUUUAUUCUGUUGAAGAAAAUACUAAAUAUCUUCAUGAUACUUUUAUUGCAUGCUUGGAUGAUAUAAAUGAAUUUAAAAUUCAGAGUACAUUUAUUGUAUCCCUUAAUUUGAAUGCUUAAGUCCUCAACUAUGUACUUCAAAGAAUAAGGAAGAGAAAAAGAGAGUAUCAUAAUUUUAUGGAGUAAUGACGCCAAGGGUAUUUGCUUUUCUCAUUUGAUUUGUCAUUGUCUAUUUAAAAUACAUUUGUUUCUAUGAUUUAGGGGAUUGAUCAUGGUUUGGUUAAAUCAUCAACACAACAAUGGGAUUGCAACACUAGAAUGGGCUCCAUGCCUUAAUCCCUAUGCUGACUGUGUGAGGGUGCCUUACUCCAUAUGUUGACGAUGCGAGGACGUUUUUCUUUUUUAAUGCUUCUACCUAGAAAUAACAAUAAUAUAACCAUAUUCUACAUUAUAAUAAUUGUUGUCUCAAUGUGAUAUAUAUCUUUGUGUAUCGUUUUAAAACUAACCAUUUUUUUAUAUUUCAGACAGACAUGAAAUUCUAAUUAUAUGGUAAUUGAGCAUGUUAAAAAUUUAGAGUGUAGUUAUUUAUAAAAAUUGAUCUACCUAUAAAUAAAUAAAGGAGUGAAUAAAAAAAAUAAAAAAUAAAAUUGAUCAUCUCCACGUUUUUCUUUUUUAAAUUUUCAUUACCUACAAAUGGGAAUUAAAAAAAUACAAAAAGUUCCUUGAGAUUUUUAAAAUUUGGUUGAAUAUAGGAUUCCCAUUAGGAUGCUGACAAACCAACAUAUGCUAAAGACAACUACACUUUCAUCGUCUAGAUUUAAUAAUAUGUUUGACAACAAAACAUCUUGUCACAAAGGGGGAAUCUACACAAAUUGGAUGGAUACUUGAUCAUGGAAAGCUUAUUUUAGUGAGGCUUACACGCACGUUCUGAAAUAUAAGAGUAAUAAAAUAAGCAAGGCAACAGUAGAUAAACGUGACCAAUGAAGCAGCCGCCAUGUUGACUGUUGGAUGAAGCAGCUUGCCCUGUUGAGUGUUGGUCAUCCACGCUUAGUCAUGGAAACCGUGACAUUUACGAAUUCAGUCUUCUCUCUGGUCAUGCGAUCAGCAACAAUCUUUUUGUACCUGCUGAACACUUCCUCUAUUAUUCCAUCACCGAAGUGGCUUACAAGCAAUGGCUCUGCAACUGCUCUCAUCAACUUGGCCACGUUGUAUCCACCAUCUUUAUGAGCAUCUGAUGGGCAGAAUUCACCGUGGUACGCAUUCCAGUUCACUUCAGAAACCUCCAGCCGAUUUAUGGUGAAGGAUCCUUCCUUUUCAACCUCACAUUUUACUUCAGCUGGGGAAGGUGUAUAUUGAGGAAUAUUGAAGGAAUCCAUCUUCUCCUCAUCUAUGAGCCCCUGCAUUUAAAAAUGGUUAAUUAAUUUACAUGCAAUUUCAUAUAUAGUUACCACACAGGUGCUGUUGCUGAAUGAUUUGAUCUAUACAAAUUGGCAACAUUAAGGGAUGAAAGAAUUAAAACUGUACCUCUGAAACCAUAUCAUUGAGAGCCACAGCUAAGAGCUCCCAGAUAUAGCAACAUUCUUUGCUAGAGGGAUCUUCACUUCUUCUUCCUAAAAAUGUUAAAACCAUAGUCCCUCCUCCUAGUAGUUCCUCCGACCGACACCUGAGAAACAUGGAGAAAUCGCUUUGGAAUUGCUCAUAGUAUGCUUUAAGCACGCUUGGUGGGCUCGAACUGGCCAUGUAAAUAUUCCCUUUGUUCUCCAGCCCUCGAGGAACCUGACGAACAAUUGAAGUUUCUAACUCACUUGCUUUCUUUUUGGUUACUAAUAAAUCAUCAUAAACCAGUAUUUUUAAUUAAAAGCAAAGAGUCACCUGAGACAACCAUUGGAGACUGUAAGAAGAAUGGACAAAAUGAAGACUUUUGCUGGGGAAGAGCCUGCAGUAGAAAGAGCCUGGAACUCCGGUUACAAAACAUGAUUCAGCGCCUGCUCCCAUUGUUUUCUGAAGAUCUUUCUGGAACUUGGGCAAGGAUUUGAAAAUGGUGUUGAAAUCAUUUCCCGGCAGAUCAUUCAAAAACACUUGAAUUUCGGGCAAUUGACGCCCCAUUUUCUUCCCCACCUUGUCCACUGUAGUGACAACUUCCAAGACUGCAAAAAAAGUGUUGGGUCCAGAAGAACAGCCCAAGUCUGCGAUGCAUAGGCUGGCCGGGAAGUUGUUGCAGUAGAGAUUUGUUAUGGCGUCCUCGAUUAUAGGCUUUGUCAAGGAUAUUACUUUUUUCUGCACCAUUAAAGUGGAACUUGUCAUAAUUGAAAACUUUUCAGAAAAACGGCAGUAUAUUGUACCUGCGUGAUAAAAACACAAAAUCUGGAAGUGCAUGGGUGCUACAGAUCAAUCAGCAUGUCUUGACUAUUCAUUCUUUAAUUUAAGAAAAGGAAACAGUGCAUAUAUAUAAUAUAUACAUGUCAGCUGAUGCUUAAAUAUCGAAGAAGAAUUAAAUUUAGCAAGAGACACACCUGAACUAAUGAGUUUUCUGCGUAACUGGUGUCCCCAUUUCCUCCCUUCAUGCAAAGCACUUGAGCUACUUCCAUCUCUUUCUUCCUGCCUCUUCGCUGAUUGCUUCCUCUCAGUUGGAAUGUGGAUUAUGUUGAAGGAGAUGCUCCCCAUUUAUAGAACUUGGAGCCACAUCUUAGUGGAAUUAAUUUUUUCAUCUUCUAUGGGCUCUACUUCCACCGAACCCCCGAUUGGCACUAGUGGAACUGAUAAUUCAGGAUUGAUGUCACAUUGUGGGUAGUCCUGAGUCCUGACGUCCACUAGAAGAUAGCACGCCACAUGCUGUCCACUAAUAUCCGGGUGGGUCCAUGCUACCUAUUCAAAUAUCUAGGUCGGCAACACUUCUGGGAAGAACUCUACAAAAUAAAAAUAGAAAUACUUUAAAAUCAUUCUAAAAAAUAAUCUAUUUUUAAAUACAAAAUCAUUAAAAUAGACUAAAACUUAAACCUAAAAGAUUCGAUUCAUAAUUUAUAUCAUACACUUUCUCGUACCAAACAUAUGGUAAACCUUAUUGGCUAGAUGAGGGCGAAUCUGCCUAUGAGAGUGAUUUUUUUUUUUUUUCAAUAUUUCUCCAUUUUAAAAUUUUUUUUCAUACAUUUUUAUGAUUUAUUUUAUCAUUUGUUAAAGUGGUAAGCAAUCAUUAAAUACACAAAAUAAUUUUUUAUUUUAUUUAUUUAUAUUAUAUCUUCAACUUUAAGAGUGAAUUACUUUAACAAAGGAUAAAAUUAAGAACAACCCAUAAUAAGUACAAGGACAUGAGUCUACUUUAUUUUAACAUUGAUGCCUCAGUUCUAGUAUGAACAUUAGACCAUGUCUCAGGGAAAAAGUCUAAACCUUGUUCUCACCGAGAAAAGUAAAAGGGGGAAAGUGUGAGAAAGGGUGAGAAAGUGUAAAACUGAUGCAGCUUUUUGCAGGUGUCUGCGACAACAUGAGAGACUUAUUGCAUUGAGUUUUGUUCUAAUUGGCUAGAUAUGCCAUCAUUUCCCCUCCCCCCCCUUCAAAAGAAUGUCACAUUUUAUGUUUCACGUGAAUCAUAUCUGCUAAUAAUUUGAGGCGGGUGUUUUAUUUAUUUCCUUUUCCUACACCUACGAAACUUCAAGUGCAUGAUUGACAGAUUUCAAAAAUAAUACUACUAACAUGGACAUGUGGGCAUGAAACACGAUGAUGGAAGUAGGACAAGGUCAAGGUUGGCGCAUGGGUUGGCCGCAGCUACCUUAAAACAAAUUGGUAUUAGUUAUCGGCCACAGAAUAUUGGAGGUACCACAGGAGCAUGACGCUUUCUGAACAACCCUGCAGGCGUUUGUUAGCUGACGUUUCCAUGCAUGACACCAUCUGCCUCAUUUUUUCUUCAAUCUAAUGUGAAGUUUGUCUCCUCUUAUCUUCUUUUUCAAAAUAAUAUCCAUUCAAAUAUGCCAACCAAGUCAAUUUUAGUUGAAAAAUAGCUAUCUGCAAAAAGUUGUGACCGUGGAGGAAAGACGUAACUGAUCUACCACAUGAUGAACUAGUUAAGAUCCCAUGAAUAUUAAGUCAACGGUUUGGUUGGUAUCACAAAGAACAGAUCUUAUCACUAAAAUUAGAUUUUUUUUUUUUUUUUCACACUAAAUGGCCAAGAGUUGGUUUGGAAGGGGAUCUUGGUAAAGUGUUUUUAGUUUUCAACACUUAUAAGUAGAAUCAGUUAGUGUAGUAAUAUUUUUAAUUAUGUGUUGUAUAACAAAAAUUCAUUUUUGAAAUAUGAUUAAAUGUUUCUUUGGAUACACUCUUAUUUUUUGUUUUCAUGUUGAAGACACCAAAAAAACUAACUUUUGGCAAGACCCAUGAAAUUCAAAGUUCAUUCAUUGGAAAGGAUCCGCCCAGAUCUGGUUCCAAAACAAUGGUAAAUUUAUCACUUUUUUUCAUUGACCAUAUCAAAGUGUAAUACCCCAAACCCUAAAUAAAAUCAUAAUUCAAAAAACUCUUUUACAUAGAGAUGAGAAAUAUCAAAGAACAUAGAACUGAAGAUUUGGAGGUUUAGGGUUUGAGGAUCAAUUUUUUCGGGUAAGAUUUUUAAUCCUUAAAUUAAUAUUCUAUAUUCAUUAAUUAGUUUUAAACACUUUAGAUAUUCUUUACAAUAUCUCAAUUUUGAUUAGAGUUCGUUUAAUUAAUUUAUAAGUCAAAAAGAUUAAAAAAUUAUAAACAUAGUUUGAUUUAUUAAUGGAGAUGGACAAAUUUUGAUCACUCAAAUGAAUAGAUCUAGAAAAAAAAUAUAAUAAAUAAAAAAAAUAAGAGUAGUGUGAUUUUCUAGAACAGUGAAGAAAAAAUUAUAAUUAUAAUAAUAUAGAUGUGUGUCGUGUAGUAGAGGGUUUAAAAGAAAAAAAAAAAAAAAAAAAGAAUGCGUGUGUACAUCUAGGAAAUGAAGAAAUAAAAGAAGAAGAAAAAACAAGUGUUAUUAUUAUAAUAAUAAUAAUGGGCGUAGUUGGUGGCUUGGAGUAACGGUGUUGUAGGGUUUUGAAAAGUAAUAUUAAUAUUAAUAAUAUAUAUAUAUAUAUAUAUAUAUAUAUAUAUAUAUAUAUAUAUAUAUAUAUAUAUAUAACACAUUAAGACUAACAUGCCGAGAAAUGUAUAUUUUAGCAAAUAACAUGUUAAGACAUGUCAUUAAGUUGUAUUUAUAAAAAUUGAUGUACCUAUAAAUAAAUAAAGGAGUGAAUAAAAAAAAAAAAUUGAUCAUCUCCACGUUUUUCUUUUUAAAAUUUUCAUUACCUACAAAUGGGAAUAAAAAAAUACAAAAAGUUCCUUGAGAUUUUUAAAAUUUGGUUGAAUAUAGGAUUCCCAUUAGGAUGCAAACAUAUGCUAAAGACAACUACACUUUCAAUAUCGUCUAGAUUUAAUAAUAUGUUUGACAAUAAAACAUCGUGUCACAAAGGGGGAAUCUACACAAAUUGGAUGGAUACUUGAUCAUGGAAAGCUUAUUUUAGUGAGGCUUACACGCACGUUCUGAAAUAUAAGAGUAAUAUAUAUAUAUAUAAUGUAUAUAUAACGUAUAACAUGUGUUCUAAUAAUAGUAAUAAUAAUGGGCGUUGGCUUGGAGUAAUGGUGUGCCAGGUCUUUAAAAGUAAUAUUAAUAUUAAUAAUAUAUAUAUAUAAUGUGUGUAGUUGGUUAAGUGAAAGUUGGAUUAUGGGAAUAAUAAUAAUAAUAAUAAUAAUAGUUUUAUGUAUAGGUUUUAAUUUAAUUUAAGUAUAUAAAGAAAUAAAUAGUGAGGGUAAGAUUAGGAAAGAAAAUGAAUUUUACAAUAAUUUGAAAACUCUGUAAAUUAAUUUAUUAUUGUUUAGCAAGUUGAAAAUAAUAUUGGGUAGUAAUAAUAUUAGCAUGAGAAAUUAAUUAGAAUCCCUAAUACUAAAUAAAAUAUUUUUAGGAUUGUGAAAUUUUUACCUUUAGAUAAUUGUGUAUGAUAUUAUGUUAGGUGAUGAGUAAAUUCGUUCAGCUAAGUACUUCAAGUUUUUGAGCACUUCUUCAAGGUAAGGGAAAUUAAUGCAAAUUUUUAUAAAAGAAAAUAAUUUUCUUUUUAUAUUGUAUUUUGAAAUGUGUAAAAAUAUUAUUUUUAUCUUUAUGCAUGAAUCAAAUAUGUGUUUUGUAUGAAAUGUAUAUUUGAACAUUUUCUUUGUUUAUAAAAAAUGAAAAAUUUAGGAGAUAUGAUGUUUUGUUUUGUAAGUUUGAAUUAAUGAUAUAAAGUGUUUGACUUUACAUUAUAUGACUCUAGUCAACGGGUUAUAAGUUCCCAGAUGAGGUCCCAACAUCAACAGUAGAGGCAACGAGGCUAGUAGUAUUAGAGACAUUCUUCAUUCUACGCUAGAGGUGAGUAGGGUGCUCAGAGGGCGGCUAUUGCUAAAGUAUGUUAUGGUUGUGGGGUAGGAGAUCAUUUAUGGAGGGCUUGCCCAUUAAGGGGUGCACGACAAGCUCAAUUUAAGCCAUAAAGAGGUCCUCAGCAACAACCAAUAUUGCAUUUCCAGCCUCCUCAAUUUCACCUACACUACUACCAGAUGUCGCAGUUAUCCCCAGUAGUGUAGGGAGCCUAGACAACCACUAUGAGUAGUCAGACUCCAUCUUCUCAAGGAUCGAGUGCUAGAAGUAAAGGGAGGCAGGCGGCAGGUAGAGUUUUUGCCUUGACCCCAAUAAAGUUAGAGAAUGACGUCAUUUUGGUGGAAAGUAUGGUUUUGGUCCAUAGUACUUAGGUGCGUAUUUUGUUUGAUACUGGUGCAACUCAUUCUUUUAUUUCUGUAUCUUGUGCUAAUAUAUAGGGGAUGAAAACGAAAAUAGUAAAAAAUCUAUUACUUAUCGAAUNNNNNNNNNNNNNNNNNNNNNNNNNNNNNNNNNNNNNNNNNNNNNNNNNNNNNNNNNNNNNNNNNNNNNNNNNNNNNNNNNNNGGGGAUGAAAACGAAAUAGUAGAAAUCCAUUACUUAUCGAAUCCUUAUGGGUACGAAUUCUAGAGUUGAUAGAAUAUGCAAGGAGUGCAUUAUUACCUUGGUAGAUAGAGCACUUAAGGUGGAUUUGAUGAUUUUGGAUAUGACUAGGUAUGAUGUUAUCUUGGGAAUGGAUUGGUUGACAAUGUAUAAAGCACUUAUUAAUUGUCAUCAUCGUAGGAUAAUAUUUUGUCUGUCAGAUGGAUUUGAGAUUUGCUUUGUUGGGGGGAAGUGUAUUAGUUUUGCCCUUUUCGCAGUCCGAUCCAUGCUAUUAGUAUGUGUUGAGGAAGGGAUCAAUAAAUUUCCUAGCUUGUCUUUUUAGUAAGGAAAAAACCUAGAAGGACUUUACAAAAAUUCUAUUAGUGGGGAAGUUUCAAGAUGUAUUUCCAGGUGAGCUACAAGGUUUACCACCAUAUAGAGAGUUUGAUUUCUCUAUUGAAGUAUAUCCAGGAACGGAUCCUAUCUCGGCAACCCCCUAUAGGAUGGUGCCUCUUGAGUUGAAAGAGUUGAAAACUCAAUUUGAGGAAUUGUUGAGUAAAAGUUUUAUUCGUCCAAAUACAUUACCAUGGGGAGCCCCAAUGUUGUUUAUGAAGAAUAAAAAUGACACAUUAAGGUUGUGUAUUGACUAUAGGAAGUUGAAUAGAGUUACUAAGAAGAAUAAGUAUCAUCUUUCAAUGAUAGAUAAUUUGUUUGAUCAGUUGAAGGAUGCGAAGUGUUUUAGUAAGAUUGACUUGAGAAUUGGGUAUCAUCAAUUGAGUGUUAGAGAAGAAAAUGUCCCCAAGAUUGCUCUUAGAACGAGAUAUGGGCAUUAUGAAUUCUUAGUCAUGCCUUUUAGGUUAACUAAUGUCCCCGCUGCUUUCAUGGAUUUAAUGAACAUAAUAUUUUGUGCUUGCUUGGAUUAGUUUGUGAUUGUCCUUAUGGAUGACAUCUUGAUUUACUCAAGGAGUUUGGAGGAGCAUAAGUAGUAUUUGGUGACCACCCUUAGAACAUUAAGAAGACACCAAUUAUAUGGAAAGUUGGACAAAAGUGAGCUUUGGCUUACUGAAGUGAAUUUAUUAGGCCAUGUGGUUUUUGAGGCAGUAGUAGUGGACCAUUCCAAGGUGGAAAUUGUGCAAGAGUGGCAAAGGCCUACAAAUGUAUUUGAGGUUAAGAGUUUCUUGGGAUUGGUUAGAUAUUAUAGGAUGUUUUUGGAAGACUUCUCUAGAAUUGCAACACCGAUGACUCGGUUGACUAGAAAAUGAGUGAAAUUUGAAUGGAAUGAUGAGUGUGAGAAUGCUUUCCAAGAGUUGAAGUGGAAAUUGACCACUAUUCUAGUGUUAACUACUCUUACUAGUGGAAAGUUGUUUAUUAUUUAAUGUGAUGUUUUUACAGUAAGGCUAUGGUGCGUGCUAAUGCAGCAAGGCAAGGUGAUAGCUUAUGCCUCAAGGCAAUUAAAGUCGCAUCAGCGGAACUAUCCAACAAAUUAUUUGAAGCUUGCAGUAGUGGUGUUUGCCCUUAAGACUUGGAGACACUAUUUGUAUUGAGAGAAGUUUGAGGUGUACUUUGAUCAUAAGAGUUUGAAAUACAUCUUCACUCAAAAGGAUUUGAACUCUAGUCAAAGAAGAUGGAUGGAGACAUUGGAAGAUUAUGAUUUUGCUCUUCAUUACCAUCUUGGAAAGACGAAUAUUGUAGUAGAUGCCUUGAGUAGGAAGAACUAUGGUCAAUUGCCUAGCUUGUGGUUGAGAGAGUUUGAGCUGCAUGCAGUUAUUAAAGAUUUUGAGCUAUGUCUUGGUUGGGAAGUACAGGGUCCAUGCUUGUAUAGUAUAUCGGCUAGACCAUUCAUUAUCCAAAUAAUAGUGGAGACCCAAUUUCAUGAUGAGCUUUUAGAAAAAGUUAAAGCCCAAUUGGUAGAAGGUGAAGCAAAUGAAAAUUGGUCUAUACAUGUAGAUAGGAGUGUGAGAUUUAAAGGAAUAUUGUGUGUGCCAAAGGAUGUAGAGUUGAGGAAUGAACUUCUAGUAGAUGCUGAUAAGGCAAAGUAUACCAUCCACCCUGAGAGUGCCAAAAUGUAUCAAGACUUAAAGAGAUAAUUUUUGUGGAGUGGGAUGAAAUGAGACAUUGCUCAAUAUGUAGCCAAUUGUUAGCAAGUGAAAGAUGAAUACCAAAAGCUUACGAGAUUGUUGCCAAUUUUACCUACACUUGAGUGGAAGUGGGAUCAUAUCACUGUGGAAUUUGUGAUAGGGUUGCUAAGAAUUAGAAGAAAAAAAAUGGAGUUUGGGUGAUUGUGGACUAUCUUACUAAGUCAACUCAUUUUCUAGCCAUGAAGACUUGACUCCAUGAACUCUCUCGUUAAGUUGUAUAUAUAGGAGAUUGUGAGGUUGCAUGGGAUACCUUUGUUUAUAGUGUCUGACAAGGACCUUAAGUUUACUUCUCAAUUUUGGCAGAGUUUACAAAGGGUUAUGAGCACCCAAUUGAAUUUUAGCAUCGCUUUUCACCCUCAAACAGAUGGUUAGUUAGAAAAAGUAAUCCAAAUUUUAGAAGACAUGUUGAGGGCUUAUGUUUUGGACUUUGGAGGGAAUUGGGUAGAGUUCGCUUAUAACAAUAGUUACCAAUCUAGUAUUGGCAUAGCACCUUAUGAAGCACUCUAUGAGAGACCUUGUAGAUCACCCUUGUGUUGAAUAGAGUUGGGUAAUUAAGAGUCGUUUGUUGGGACCUGAGAUUGUCUAAGAGACUAUGAAAAAAAUACAACUCAUCAAGAAAAAACUUAAGAUCACUCAAGAUAGAUAGAAAAACUAUGCAAACCAAAGGAGAAGGGCUUUGGAGUUUGGGGAAAAGGAUUGGGUUUUUAUUAAGGUGUCCCCGUAAUCAAAGUGUGAUGACAACACCAUGGGAUUGAAGAAGCCACUUGGGAUCAUGAAGAAGAAAUUAGGCAACAUUAUUCGCAACUGUUCUUUAAUUUUUGAGGUAAACUCGUUUAAAUUUUGAGACAAAAUUUCUUUCAGGGGGGUAGGAUGUAAUGAUUGAGUAUUUUAAGCCAAGUUGGAAUUUCAAGUUUGAAAAUUCUUCCUUUUUGGUGGUGGUUGAAAAGUCAAAAAGUAGUUGGAAAAUACGUGUCAAUUUUGGAUUGAUGGAAUUUGAAAGAUUUUAUUGGUCAAUCAAGCGAGUUGAAUUUUCGUGCCACGUUAGCUUUUUAGCAGGAAAUUUCUUAGGAUUGUAGAAAUCAAAUUUUUUUCCCGAAAAUCAAAAAGCGAAAACAAAAAUAAAAUAAAUAAAUAAAUUUUAAAAAUUAAAAUAUUUGUGUGGUGUGUGAUAAUUUAUUUUGUGUGUUGUAAAAGAAUGAAUUAAGAAAAGAAAAUGAAUUGAAUUAAGGAAAAAAAAAACUAAAUUAAUAUAAUAUAAUAUAUAUAUAUACAUAUAUUGUUUUUGGAUUGGGCUGUCACCACCUUUAGUGGCUCGUUUAAAUAGAAAAGAAAAAGAACGAAGAAAGUAGAAAAUGAAGGAAAACUUAUAGAAGAGUCUUGGUGACUGCAGUGGAAAAAAAAAAAAACUACUUUUCGAUUGGUUGUUUCAAUGGCCAAACAUCAUCCUUUUCACGUGAAAUUUUAAGGGAAUACUUUACUCGACACGAGGAACAUUCAUACAGUGUUGGAUUUUGUUUUCAACGAUUGGAUCAUUAGAUCUGUGGUAGACGGUUUUAACACUAAAACUUUAAUUAAAUGCCCUUUUCUUAACAAAAAUUAUUGUUUUUGUUGUUAGAAGCUAAAUAAACAAUAUUUGUGAUACGAGGAAUUUUAUUGGAUGAUUUGGGAAUUUUUUUAGAAAUUUUGUGAUGACGAUAUUUUUUUUAUGGUUGUUAAAUGAUUGUGCUUGGGUUAUUAAAAUUAAUGGGAUCAUUGAGGAUAAAUGAAAUUAUGGUAGAAAUUAUGUUGGAUUGAUAUUGGGUAUAUUGAGAACUAAUUGAGAUGUUUUUGGUAAUUUAAUUGUGAAAAUAAUUGUAUUUGGUUAUUGAAAUUAUUGGGAUUGUUGACAAUAAAAGAAAUUUUAGUAUACAUUGUAAUUUUAUUGAUGUUUGGAUUAGUGAGAAUUUUGUAUGACAUUUGUAGAUGAUGAUAUGUAAUUUCAUUGCAUUUCAUAUGCAUCAUGGUUGUGUGAAGGAAAAUAAAAAUUUGUUGUAAGGUUGUAUGAAAUAAAAAAGAAAGAAAAAUAAAAUAAUGAUGAAAAGUAAAGGCCCGUGAAAGGUGAAUUAAGAAGGGAGUGAGAUCCUUAGGGUGAAAGACCAAAAAUUUACCCCGGGAAUACUCUAAACUGGGAGUGUAUUUAGGUACAGACAUGUUUUCUUUAUUGAAAGCUCGAGAACGACAAUACUUUUUAUGACUGUGUGUUACAUAUCCACAUGCAUUUUAUUAAUUGUUGAAAAUUGCUGAAUUGCUAUAAUUAUAGAAACUAAAAUGUUUGGGUUGGUUAAAUUAUGGUAGAAUGUUUAUUUUUUUGUAUACUUGAACCUUAGUAAUCCCAAAUUAACCUUUCCUUGGGUGUAAAGCACUCUACUGAGUAAUGUGAAAUGCUCAUCAUUUCCUUCUUAUAUAUAUUUAAAUGUAGAUGUGAUUCAUGAGGAUCCACAAAUGGGACAAGGAGGGCUUUAAGACGCCUCAGAAGAUUUUGGAGCAGCAUAAUGAAUUGUAGUGUAGUUGUUAUGUUGGUUUAUUUUGGAACUUGUAUUAACAAAUUUUGAAAUUAUAUAUUUGUAUUGAGACUUUAUUUUGAUUAAUUUGCUUAUAUUGUGGACUUUCAUUUUAGACUUGAGUUGGAGAUUACAUUGUUAUUGAAUUUCUUUGUUGCUCUUAAGUAAUGAUUGUUAUAUUGAUAAAUUGGAAUGUUAGUUAAAGGAAGUUCUAGUGUGAUUUAUAUUUAAAAAAAGAAAAAGAAAAUUCAAAGCGUUUUAGUUUACUGUUAGCUUGGAUUAGGAGGAACCCUUAGGAUCAAAUCUUUGACUUUGGAUCAUGGGCCAAAUUUUGAGUCGCCCAAAAUUCGGGUCGUGACAGCUCUAAGUCCUCAACUAUGUACUUCAAAGAAUAAGGAAGAGAAAAAGAGAGUAUCCUAAUUUUAUGGGGUAAUGACGUCAAGGGUAUUUGCUUUUCUCAUUUGAUUUGUCAUUGUCUAUUUAAAAUAAAUUCUUUUCUAUGAUAUAGGGCUUGAUCGUGGUUUGGUUGAAUCAUCAACACUACAAGCGUACGUGUAACAUGGGAUUGCAACACUAGAAUGGGCUGCAUGCCUUAAUCCCUAUGCUGACUGUGUGAGGGUGCCUUAGUCCAUAUGUUGACGACGAGGGAUAUACAUACCUUAUAAUCAUUGUGGUCUCAAUGUCAUAUAUAUUUGUGGAUCGUUUUAAAGCAAUCCAUUUAUAUAUAUAUAUAUAUAUAUAUAUAUAUAUAUAUAUAUAUAUAUAUAUAUUUCAGAUUUUCCAAAAUAUCAAUGUGAAAAAUCUAGUUGGCUUUUUACAACACAAGAUUGCUUUAUAUAAAUCUUAAGGUAUGACAUUAAGACUAACAUGCCGAGAAAUGUAUAUUUUAGCAAAUGACAUGUUAAGACAUGCAUGUCAUUAAGUUGUAUUUAUAAAAAUUGAUCUACCUAUAAAUAAAUAAAGGAGUGAAUAAAAAAAAAAAUUUGAUCAUCUCCACGUUUUUCUUUUUUAAAUUUUCAUUACCUACAAAUGGGAAUAAAAAAAUACAAAAAGACGUUCCUUGAGAUUUUUAAAAUUUGGUUGAAUAUAGGAUUCCCAUUAGGAUUCUGACAAACCAAACAUAUGUUAAAGACAACUACACUUUCAUCGUCUAGAUUUAAUAAUAUGUUUGACAAUAAAACGUCGUGUCACAAAGGGGGAAUCUACACAAAUUGGAUGGAUACUUGAUCAUGGAAAGCUUAUUUUAGUGAGGCUUACAUGCACGUUCUGAAAUAUAAGAGUAAUAAAAUAAGCAAGGCAACAGUAGAUAAACGUGACCAAUGAAGCAGCCGCCAUGUUGACUGUUGGAUGAAGCAGCUUGCCCUGUUGAAUGUUGGUCAUCCACGCUUAGUCAUGAAAACCGUGACAUUUACGAAUUCAGUCUUCUCUCUGGUCAUGCGAUCAGCAACAAUCUUUUUGUACCUGCCGAACACUUCCUCUAUUAUUCCGUCACCGAAGUGGCUUACAAGCAAUGGCUCUGCAACUGCUCUCAUCAACUUGGCCACGUUGUAUCCACCAUCUUUAUGAGCAUCUGAUGGGCAGAAUUCACCGUGGUACGCAUUCCAGUUCACUUCAGAAACCUCCAGCCGAUUUAUGGUGUAGGAUCCUUCCUUUUCAACCUCACAUUUUACUUCAGCUGGGGAAGGUGUAUAUUGAGGAAUAUUGAAGGAAUCCAUCUUCUCCUCAUCUAUGAGCCCCUGCAUUUAAAAAUGGUUAAUUAAUUUACAUGCAAUUUCAUAUAUAGUUACCACACAGGUGCUGUUGCUGAAUGAUUUGAUCUAUACAAAUUGGCAACAUUAAGGGAUGAAAGAAUUAAAACUGUACCUCUGAAACCAUAUCAUUGAGAGCCACAGCUAAGAGCUCCCAGAUAUAGCAACAUUCUUUGCUAGAGGGAUCUUCACUUCUUCUUCCUAAAAAUGUUAAAACCACAGUCCCUCCUCCUAGUAGUUCCUCCGACCGACACCUGAGAAACAUGGAGAAAUCGCCUUGGAAUUGCUCAUAGUAUGCUUUAAGCACGCUUGGUGGGCUCCAACUGGCCAUGUAAAUAUUCCCUUUGUUACUCUCCAGCCCUCGAGGAACCUGACGAACAAUUGAAAUUUCUAACUCACUUGCUUUCUUUUUGGUUUCUAAUAAAUCAUCAUAAGCCAGUAUUUUUAAUUAAAAGCAAAGAGUCACCUGAGACAACCAUUGGAGACUGUAAGAAGAAUGGACAAAAUGAAGACUUUUGCUGGGGAAGAGCCUGCCGUAGAAAGAGCCUGGAACUCCGGUUACAAAACAUGAUUCAGCGCCUGCUCCCAUUGUUUUCUGAAGAUCUUUUUGGAACUUGGGCAAGGAUUUGAAAAUGGUGUUGAAAUCAUUUCCCGGCAGAUCGUUCAAAAACACUUGAAUUUCGGGCAAUUGAUGCCCCAUUUUCUUCCCCACCUUGUCCACCGUAGUGACAACUUCCAAGACUGCAAAAAAAGUGUCGGGUCAAGAAGAACAGCCCAAGUCUGCGAUGCAUAGGCUGGCCGGAAAGUUGUUGCAGUAGAGAUUUGUUAUGGCGUCCUCGAUUAUAGGCUUUGUCAGGGAUAUUACUUUUUUCUG